GUUCUGGUUGCUGGGAAACCAUAAUCUACACCAGGAGUUCUCCAACUUUUACUCUGUAAGACCUCCCGUCCAACAGGCUAUAAAAACUCCAGGGCCCAGCGGAAGUUUUCUGCUGAAGAAACCAUCAGCAGGGGACAUCCCGUGUUUCAUUGGUGCCAUUCUGUAAUAUAACCAUGGUAAAUUUGGAGUGUGACUCUGGAGGCUUUUUCAGAAGGGGCGUUAUUAUUUUGACACACUUUCCCCCCAACCUGUUGGAUUCAGGAUAAUAGAGACUGGCUGUUACAUGUCUAAACCUGCACUUCACUGCAAACUCUUUAAACACAUGCCUACUGAACUGUGGCCAAUCGUUAGAGGUUACUAUGUCAGGAAUGCCAUGUCUAGCAAAAAGAGAAUUGACAUGUGCAAUCACCUAUCUGUUUAGGUGUAGUAGGCGCAUGGGACCCCAGUAACAAGCGACUGUUGAGAUAAUGUGGAAUCAGUCAACGCUACGCUCGGCUGAUGCAGCAACUCAUGGUGUUGGAUGCCAUCAGGUGGUCGAGGGACAUCUACCUAGAACACAUCGCCAGACAUUGGCAAUACCAGGAGGGAUGAGCUGGAUUGACAAUGAGAAGCGCAUUCGGGAAAGUCACUGAAAUACUUCCCUGAUGGAGUGUAUUUUCUUACAGACAAUCUACCCUAAAUUCUCAGUUACUGAGGGACAACCUUCACUCAUUCAUAUAUUUUCUUUCCACAACCAACUCUGUGUAUAACUUUUCAUGAGUAAUGUACCCGAAUAAGUGGAUGCUAAUGUCUGAACUGUAUUGUUAAAUUUAUUCACCUAAAUUUAGGUUAUUGCUGAUUAUGUACUAUAUGUACUGGAUGACUUUUAAAACAAACUUUGUAUUUGUGGAUAAUCUAAGCACUAUACCCAGAUGUACAGACCCUCAUUUCUUAACCUGUGUAUUCUAUUCUUUUUUAACAUUAGCUUUAAUAAUUUUUAAAAAUCUUUUAGUAA